GCGGUUGUCAUGCCUUGCACCACUCCUACUAAAUAUAACGAGAGCCUUUACUCAGGAAGAACAUCUCCCUUGUAGAUCUUGCACAGGAUUCUCUAGUCUCCUACCUUUGCCUUACUUGGCUAUAGUCAUUGACACACUCAUGAUCCAUGGGAUGCCACCACUAAUAAGAUCUACUUCACAAUUGCCAAGGCCUGUUUGGUGCACGCAUGGACAAAUCCAACAGCUUUAUAAACAAAAAUUAUUCUUUCACAUGGACAUGAAGAAUUAUGCCCAAAGUGGCGGUGUGCUUGGGGUUUCAGUCUUCAUUAUUGGAUCAACAACACCCAGACAAACAGACAUCCUCCAUUGCCAAAUUAAACCUGCCUCAAGAUUUGAGGACACUAAACGGUAAGCAGUUUUCAU